rnacentral:tRNA from 1 species
CGGGGCAGUCGGAGGUGCCGCGAACCCGCAUGAAUGCUAGGUUUCUGGCCCUUAGAUGGCAACUUGGAUGGGGGCCAAGGGGUCGCUGGUUCAAAUCCAGUCGCCCCGACCA